rnacentral:rRNA from 1 species
GGACCAGACUCCUACGGGAGGCAGCAGUGAGGAAUAUUGGUCAAUGGCCGGAAGGCUGAACCAGCCAAGUCGCGUGAGGGAAUAAGGCCCUAUGGGUCGUAAACCUCUUUUGUCAGGGAGCAAAGGCGUCCACGUGUGGACGAGAGGAGAGUACCUGAAGAAAAAGCAUCGGCUAACUCCGUGCCAGCAGUCGCGGUAAUACGGAGGAUCCGAGCGUUAUCCGGAUUUAUUGGGUUUAAAGGGAGCGUAGAUGGGUUGUUAAGUCAGUUGUGAAAGUUUGCGGCUCAACCGUAAAAUUGCAAUUGAUACUGGCAGCCUUGAGUACAGGUGAGGUAGGCGGAAUUCGUGGUGUAGCGGUGAAAUGCUUAGAUAUCACGAAGAACUCCGAUUGCGAAGGCAGCAUACCGGCGCCCAACUGACGCUGAAGCACGAAAGCGUGGGUAUCGAACAGGAUUAGAUACCCGUGUA